rnacentral:rRNA from 1 species
AACGAACGCUGGCGGCAUGCCUAACACAUGCAAGUCGAACGAGACCUUCGGGUCUAGUGGCGCACGGGUGCGUAACGCGUGGGAACCUGCCCUUAGGUUCGGAAUAACUCCCCGAAAGGGGUGCUAAUACCGGAUAAUGUCUUCGGACCAAAGAUUUAUCGCCUUUGGAUGGGCCCGCGUUGGAUUAGCUAGUUGGUAGGGUAAAAGCCUACCAAGGCGACGAUCCAUAGCUGGUCUGAGAGGAUGAUCAGCCACACUGGGACUGAGACACGGCCCAGACUCCUACGGGAGGCAGCAGUGGGGAAUACUGGACAAUGGGCGAAAGCCUGAUCCAGCAAUGCCGCGUGAGUGAUGAAGGCCUUAGGGUUGUAAAGCUCUUUUACCCGGGAUGAUAAUGACAGUACCGGGAGAAUAAGCGCCGGCUAACUCCGUG